rnacentral:rRNA from 1 species
UACGAAGGGGGCUAGCGUUGUUCGGAAUUACUGGGCGUAAAGGGCGCGUAGGCGGCAUUGCAAGUCAGGGGUGAAAGUCCUGGGCUCAACCUGGGGAUUGCCUUUGAGACUGUGAUGCUCGAGACCGGGAGAGGGUAGCGGAAUUCCCAGUGUAGAGGUGAAAUUCGUAGAUAUUGGGAAGAACACCAGUGGCGAAGGCGGCUACCUGGACCGGUUCUGACGCUGAGGCGCGAAAGCGUGGGGAGCAAACAGG